UACGUAGGCAGCGAGCGUUGUUCGGAAUUACUGGGCGUAAAGAGUGUGUAGGCGGUGUUCCCAGUCUGUUGUGAAACCUCCAGGCUCAACCUGGAGAUGCCACCUGAUACUGCUGUGACUUGAGUCCGGUAGGGGAGCGUGGAAUUCCUGGUGUAGCGGUGAAAUGCGCAGAUAUCAGGAGGAACACCAGCGGCGAAGGCGGCGCUCUGGGCCGGAACUGACGCUGAGGAGCGAAAGCGUGGGUAGCAAACAGG
rnacentral:rRNA from 1 species